AACGAACGCUGGCGGCAGGCUUAACACAUGCAAGUCGAGCGCCCCUCCUUCAAGCAAGCUUGAAGGAUAUUAAUCCUUGAAAGGGAAGAUCAAGAACGCUUCUAAGAAGCUUUCUUGAUGGAGGGGAGCGGCAGACGGGUGAGUAACGCGUGGGAAUCUACCCUUUUCUACGGAAUAACGCAGGGAAACUUGUGCUAAUACCGUAUGUGUCCUUCGGGAGAAAGAUUUAUCGGGAAAGGAUGAGCCCGCGUUGGAUUAGCUAGUUGGUGGGGUAAAGGCCUACCAAGGCGACGAUCCAUAGCUGGUCUGAGAGGAUGAUCAGCCACAUUGGGACUGAGACACGGCCCAAACUCCUACGGGAGGCAGCAGUGGGGAAUAUUGGACAAUGGGCGCAAGCCUGAUCCAGCCAUGCCGCGUGAGUGAUGAAGGCCCUAGGGUUGUAAAGCUCUUUCACCGGAGAAGAUAAUGACGGUAUCCGGAGAAGAAGCCCCGGCUAACUUCGUGCCAGCCGCCGCAGUAACAC
rnacentral:rRNA from 1 species